UACAGAGGGUGCAAGCGUUAAUCGGAAUUACUGGGCGUAAAGCGUGCGUAGACGGUUAUGUAAGUCAGAUGUGAAAGCCCCGGGCUCAACCUGGGGAAUUGCAUUUGAGACUGCAUAGCUAGGGUGCGGAAGAGGGAAGCGGAAUUUCCGGUGUAGCGGUGAAAUGCGUAGAUAUCGGAAGGAACACCAGUGGCGAAAGCGGCUUCCUGGUCCAGCACCGGACGUCAGGCACGAAAGCGUGGGGAGCAAACAGG
rnacentral:rRNA from 1 species